rnacentral:rRNA from 1 species
UACGGGGGGGGCAAGCGUUGUUCGGAAUUACUGGGCGUAAAGGGCUCGUAGGCGGCCAACUAAGUCAGACGUGAAAUCCCUCGGCUUAACCGGGGAACUGCAUCUGAUACUGGAUGGCUUGAGAUUGGGAGAGGGAUGCGGAAUUCCCGGUGUAGAGGUGAAAUUCGUAGAUAUCGGGAGGAACACCUGUGGCGAAGGCGGCCAUCUGGACGGUGACUGACGCUGAGACGCGAAAGCGUGGGUAGCAAACAGG